GGGGGGGGGGGGGGGGGGGGGGGGGGGGGGGGGGGGGGGGGGGGGGGGGGAAAAAAAAAACCUUUAAAAAAAAAAAAAAAAAAAAAAAGAAAGAAAAAAAAGGAAGUAGAAUUUUGUAACUCUGGAACUACCUGAGUCUUUUCAGCCCCUUUGCACUUCAAAGAGAGUUGGGAAUGUUCACUGCUUGCCAAGAAAAGGUUUUUCUGACAUGGGAAUCCUUAUAGGAAGCUCAGAUCAGCUCAGGGGAGCUCAGGGGUUCAGACCUCUUAAUCCUUGUUGUGGUGCCCAAACUUGCAGAAUUGUUUACAGCCAGGAAGAGCAGCUGUACUCUGUCCCUUGAUCCCUAAUGCCAAGGACUGAUGGAUGGAUGGAAUAUCUGGCCACGCAAAAUGCAUUUUUUUAAUUGCUUGGGUUUUCCAACCUAGCAGCACAAGGUACCAGUGGAAUUUAGAAGAAAGUUAGAGUUCACCAACUUUUAGCAUAAACUGCCUGUGGUUCCUUUGCUAUCAUUUCCACCUGAAAUUCAAGUUCCAGUUUUGAAUGUCUCAGAGCAAUGGGAACG
rnacentral:lncRNA from 12 species